rnacentral:rRNA from 1 species
AACCAUAGGCCAUGAAUCUGGUCUUGGGACACUGUCAGGUGGGCAGUUUGACUGGGGCGGUCGCCUCCCAAAAGGUAACGGAGGCGCUCAAAGGUUCGCUCAGUACGGUCGGAAAUCGUACGUAGAGGGUAAAGGCAAAAGAGAGCUUGAUUGCAAGACAUACAGGUCGAGCAAGGAUGAAAAUCGGACUUAGUGAUCCGGUGGUUCUGCGUGGAAGGGCCAUCG